rnacentral:tRNA from 1 species
CGGGGCGUGGCGUAGCUUGGUAGCGCGCUUGAAUGGGGUUCAAGAGGUCGCAAGUUCAAAUCUUGUCGCCCCGA